rnacentral:sRNA from 1 species
CAGGAUCAAUGUGACUCUAAGAACAAAUGGAUGAAUGAAUAUCCAUAUGAAGAGAAAAACAAUAAAGAAUAUCAACAACUUUGAGAACAGAAUGUUAAUGCUUGAUGGGAUGCCGGCAGUCAGAGUCAAAACAGAGCUUUUGGAAUCUGAACAAGGGUCUCCAAACGUCCACAACUAUCCCGAUAUGGAAGCCGUUCCCCUGUUGCUAAAUAAUGUGAAAGGGGAGCCACCGGAGGACUCGUUAUCUGUAGAUCACUUCCAAACACAAACUGAGCCAGUGGACUUGUCAAUAAACAAAGCCAGGACGUCCCCUACUGCCGUGUCAUCCUCCCCAGUUUCCAUGACAGCGUCUGCCUCCUCACCUUCUUCAACUUCAACCUCUUCAUCGUCUUCUAGUCGUCUAGCCUCAUCCCCAACUGUUAUCACAUCAGUAUCUUCAGCGUCAUCUUCGUCAACAGUAUUAACUCCAGGGCCUCUUGUUGCCUCUGCAUCUGGUGUUGGAGGCCAGCAGUUUUUGCACAUUAUCCAUCCUGUACCGCCUUCAAGUCCCAUGAAUUUACAGUCUAACAAACUGAGUCAUGUUCACCGCAUCCCCGUGGUGGUACAGUCGGUGCCUGUUGUCUACACAGCUGUAAGGUCACCUGGAAAUGUGAACAACACUAUUGUCGUGCCGCUUUUGGAGGAUGGCAGAGGCCAUGGCAAAGCACAAAUGGACCCCCGAGGCCUAUCUCCCAGACAAAGUAAAAGUGACAGUGAUGAUGAUGACCUGCCAAAUGUGACCUUAGAUAGCGUUAAUGAAACUGGAUCUACGGCCCUUUCCAUAGCCAGAGCAGUACAAGAGUAAGUAUCACAUUCACAGGAUGAAAUAAGAAUUGCCAAGGUGUUCAAUGGAUAAUGGAAACUGCAGCAUCUCCUGUCCCCCAGCCAUGUCAUUCUAGCUGUGAACUGGCAUGAAUGUCAGCAGCUUUUCAUUCAUCUGAAUGCUCUUUGGGAGAUUAGGGCAGAGAGUGGAGUGUUUUAAAGAGUUGGAAAUUCAUGCUUUGAUGAGAUAUAAGACCUCUGUGCAUCUUUUCUAAUACCUCCUGCACCCUUCUCCUGAACUCUGCAAAAAAAAAAAAAA